CACUAUUUGUUCUUAUAACGUUUAUUUGAAUAAGGUCGAGAGUUUGUCGGUUGCUAUCUCAGUACUUAUGUUGCUAUCGAGAUAAAAGUUCUUUUUGCCAGGUCACGAGAAGCAACAGAGUAGAACAAAUCACUUGGAAAAGCCAUUUUGAUACAACAUCGUAAGAGCUUCGUGUACGGAAA